CCUACGGGUGGCAGCAGUGGGGAAUAUUGGACAAUGGGGGCAACCCUGAUCCAGCCAUGCCGCGUGUGUGAAGAAGGCCCUCGGGUUGUAAAGCACUUUCAGUGAGGAAGAACGCCUGGUGGUUAAUACCCAUCAGGAAAGACAUCACUCACAGAAGAAGCACCGGCUAACUCCGUGCCAGCAGCCGCGGUAAUACGGAGGGUGCGAGCGUUAAUCGGAAUUACUGGGCGUAAAGCGCGCGUAGGUGGCUUGAUAAGCCGGUUGUGAAAGCCCCGGGCUCAACCUGGGAACGGCAUCCGGAACUGUCAAGCUAGAGUGCAGGAGAGGAAGGUAGAAUUCCCGGUGUAGCGGUGAAAUGCGUAGAGAUCGGGAGGAAUACCAGUGGCGAAGGCGGCCUUCUGGACUGACGCUGACACUGAGGUGCGAAAGCGUGGGUAGCAAACAGGAUUAGAUACCCGUGUAGUC
rnacentral:rRNA from 1 species